rnacentral:rRNA from 1 species
CAGCCGCCGCGGUAAAACGUAGGGGGCAAGCGUUGUCCGGAAUUAUUGGGCGUAAAGCGCGCGCAGGCGGUUUUUUAAGUCUGGUGUCUAAGUGCGGGGCUCAACCCCGUGACGCACUGGAAACUGGGAAACUUGAGUGCAGAAGAGGAGAGUGGAAUUCCACGUGUAGCGGUGAAAUGCGUAGAGAUGUGGAGGAACACCAGUGGCGAAGGCGACUCUCUGGACUGUAACUGACGCUGAGGCGCGAAAGCGUGGGGAGCAAACAGGAUUAGAUACCCCAGUAGUCCCUGUCUCUUAUACA